rnacentral:tRNA from 1 species
AGUAGAAUGACUGAUAAAAGUGAUAAAUUGUAAAUUUAUAAAUGAAUUUUUCUUCUGCU